AUAUUUACCUGGCAGAGGAGGCACCAUGAUCAUCAAGGUGGUUUUCCAAGGGUGAGACCCAUCCUUGCAAUUUGGGUAUGCUAACCCCUGCGAUUUCCAGGGGAAACUCAACCACAUAAUUUUUGGUUGUGGGGGGACUGUGUUCAUGCUUUGGCUGG